rnacentral:lncRNA from 1 species
GAAGAAACUAUAAGCACAAAGGACAAUCUAGCUAAUUCUCUAGACUUGAACCCACAGGAGUAUAUCCGUUGUAGCUAGCGGGGAAAUAAACACUUGACAAAGUGAAACUCUCUAAUAGCAAGUUGUUCUUGAGAUUUGGUAAAAUUAGAACAAUUAUUCAACCCACCGCUAUCUGGUUUCCAUUCCUAGAGCUCCAUAAAUACUGCCCAUCCAACAUUCAGCAAUAAUCCCCUACUUGAUAAAUCAAUGGGUGUUUUCAGUUCUUGCACUUUCUUUCUUUCUACAGCUCUGUGAAGGUUGGAAAAAGCAAUAAAUAUUAAAAGUGAAAAAAUUUUUUUUAGAUUUUAUUUAUUCACGAGGGACACAGAGAGAGAGAGGCAGAGACACAGGCAGAGGGAGAAGCAGGCUCCAUGCAGGGAGCCCGAUGUGGGACUCAAUCCUGGGUCUCCAGGAUCACACCCCGGGUGGAAGGCAGGCGCUAAACCUCCCAGCCACCCAGUGAUCCUUAAAAGUGAAAAUUAAAAGUAAGGUAAGACAAUGCCAUGAGCAAAUACAUGCCCAACAAUAUUUUCAAAUUUACUGAAUGGACACAUACCUACAUUAUAUCUUUACAGACUUAAUCAGAAAGAAAAAAACUCAAGUAGUCCCAUAACAAUUACAUAAAUCUGCAAUGCCUCUCUGGGAUAAAGCCCUCAAGAUGCCAAAAACACCGUAAAACAUCUAGGAGAGAGAUGGAGAAGAACCGGUGGCGAUUUUAGGAAGAUAUUUAAUAUAUAACAAAAUAAUUGUAUUACUGUUUUCAAGGUAUUUAAAAAGAACUAUUUUGAUACUAGGAGUAGAGAAAGUUCUUUUUUAAACAAAAACAAAAAUGAAGUAUGACAUCUAUGUACAAUUUUUU